rnacentral:ncRNA from 1 species
AUACUUGCUUUGACAGGAAUAAGUAGCGGGCUGUCCCUGUAAAUUAGAGAAUCGAUGGUUGGUGCAAAUCGAUACACACAGUCUGACGAAUUACCUCCUUGAGCAUUUGUCGUGAGAAAUCAAUAAUAGCGACAAACGGUAUAAUGCCGUUAUAGAUCAAGAGUGGGGAGUGGAGUAAUCCAUUCUCAAGUUGGGUGGUAACACGGUUAAAUCGUCCCUUCG